GCCCGCGUAGCUCAGUGGUAGAGCGCUUCCUUGGUAAGGAAGAGGUCAUGGGUUCAAUCCCCGUCGUGGGCUCCA
rnacentral:tRNA from 1 species